rnacentral:rRNA from 1 species
AUGAACGCUGGCGGCGUGCCUAAUACAUGCAAGUCGAGCGAACAGAUGAGGAGCUUGCUCCUCUGACGUUAGCGGCGGACGGGUGAGUAACACGUGGAUAACCUACCUAUAAGACUGGGAUAACUUCGGGAAACCGGAGCUAAUACCGGAUAAUAUAUUGAACCGCAUGGUUCAAUAGUGAAAGACGGUUUUGCCGUCACUUAUAGAUGGAUCCGCGCCGCAUUAGCUAGUUGGUAAGGUAACGGCUUACCAAGGCAACGAUGCGUAGCCGACCUGAGAGGGUGAUCGGCCACACUGGAACUGAGACACGGUCCAGACUCCUACGGGAGGCAGCAGUAGGGAAUCUUCCGCAAUGGGCGAAAGCCUGACGGAGCAACGCCGCGUGAGUGAUGAAGGUCUUCGGAUCGUAAAACUCUGUUAUUAGGGAAGAACAAAUGUGUAAGUAACUAUGCACGUCUUGACGGUACCUAAUCAGAAAGCCACGGCUAACUACGUG